rnacentral:rRNA from 1 species
GUGUCAGCAGCCGCGGUAAUACGGAGGGUGCAAACGUUGCUCGGAAUUAUUGGGCGUAAAGCGCACGUAGGCGGUCCAGCAAGUCGGGUGUGAAAGCCCUCGGCUUAACCGAGGAAGUGCAUUCGAAACUAUUGGACUUGAAUACUGAAGAGGAUCGCGGAAUUCCCGGUGUAGAGGUGAAAUUCGUAGAUAUCGGGAGGAACACCAGUGGCGAAGGCGGCGAUCUGGGCAGAUAUUGACGCUGAUGUGCGAAAGCGUGGGGAGCAAACAGGAUUAGAUACCCCCGUAGUCC